AAAAACGCAUCCGAAUCUCAAUCAGUGGGGGUCUUUUUCGGCAGUGCGUCGAAGCAAAACCAGCGUACUCGCAAAUCAUCUGUGAUUCGGACGCUACACUCUCAGCAUUUACAGCUCCCCCG